UACCGUGCUGUGCACGGGCGGAGGCUUGGUUGGCUUGACCGAUGUUGUCUACUAAACGCAUGAGCAGCUUUGGACCCGUGUCUGCCGGUAGAUCCCCCGUCGUUCGACGGCCGACUAUCGGCGCCGUGUCCCAAAAAUCGGGUGGGCUUUGAUUCGUUGGAAUAGGAAGUGGCUUGCGUGCUAGUACCCGACCUACGGGAAGUGGCGCUUAUGAUAAUUGUUGCCUCACGGCGGACGCCCUCCGGGUUUUCUGUUGUGGCCGAUUAGCGCUUGUGGCGUUGCCUCGUGGCAUCGGGCAUGUAAUGUGCCUGAAGCUAUCAAGGCAAUCUCGCUCACGCUGUUGGUCUCGGAUGCUGCUAACGAUAAAGGGUAGUGGCCCUUUUGGUUGCCUCGACCCGACCCAAAGCUCUCCGAACUGAGAACAACCGUAACAGGAGUUGCCUCUACCUCUCCACAGUUGCGUGGUAGGAUACGCGACUCUCUGCGCCGAUCCUCAGUGACGAUGAGCUAUGCCCCCUCAAAAAGACAAUCGGCCCGGCUGUUGCCUAUGCGUUUCAACGGAAGUGGAAACGUAGGGCGACUACCGACGCUGGACGUCAUCGAGGACGUGCU
rnacentral:misc_RNA from 1 species